GGAGAGAAGAUCCAAUUGAGAGACAUGCAUGCAAAGACGGACUCCGAGGCCACUAGCAUUGACGCGGCUUUGUCAUGGCCGCCGCGCUCUCCGCCCCGUUCGGCGACUAGACCUCUUUACUAUGUACAGAGUCCCUCCAACCACGACGUGGAGAAGAUGUCAUUUGGGUCGGGUUGCAGCCCGAUGGGUUCUCCCUCACACCCACAUUACUACCACUGCUCACCCAUCCAUCACUCCCGUGAAUCCUCCACCUCUCGCUUCUCUGACCGAGCACUCCUCUCCUACCAGUCAAUCCGCGAAGGAAGCGGACGCCGUCGUUACAUCAACAGCGCCAUCGACGAAGAAACUGACGACGGAGAUGACGACCCCUUUCGAAAUGUGCGUCUCUACGGCUGCUUGCUCCUCUCCUUGUUCCUCUUGUUCUCAAUCUUCUCUCUCAUACUGUGGGGUGCUAGCAAAUCCUACCCUCCUAAAGUUGUGGUAAAGGUAACAAUAACUAUCGCUCUUUUCUUCACUCGGUGACUCGGGCUGAGUUAAGAGUAGAGUCGACUCGUCUAGUGGAUAGGUGUUCGGUUUCACUUUCUUCGGUUUCACUUUCCUUAAAAGAAACAAUCUGAAAAAGGCCAACAAUGAAAAAUAGUAUAAUACUAGUGUUAUGUCCCGUACUAGCGUACGGGCACAAAAAUUAAUAUUACUCAUAUCUUACGAAACUUGAGUUUAUGUAACUGAUGAGAUCCUCAACAAAAUUUCCUUCCUGAUAAACUGUGUUGGAUCUGAUCCAUUAAAAAUGAUUUGGAUUAUCUAGUCUAGUGUUGCGUCAGAAAAAUUCACUCGUACUUGUGUGGACAUAGUUUUGACUAUCUCAUACCAACUGCACCAGUUAGUCUAGUGUUGCGUCAGAAAAAUUCACUCGCGCUAGUGUUAUAUUUUUUUUGCGUCAAUGGUUAAAACAAACAGAUUUAGUUCACAAUCUAUACCUCAUAUAUUGUAUUGCACAUAAUUCAUUUCAUUUGUUGCAGAGAAAUAUGAUGGAGCAAUAUAUGAAAAAGUAGCAAUAGCAGAAAAUAGAGAAAACGAAAAAUUAAAGAAAAAACAGUUAUAGAAGAUGAAACAGUUUAAAGUCAUGUUAUGAUUUGAGAGAGUGACGAUUUGAUAGUGAUUUUUUGUAACUUUUUCAUCUUCUAUAACUGAGUUUUUUUUCUUUAUUUCUCUCUCUAUCGUUUCUUAUUCUUGAUAAUGUUUCCCAGCUUUUCAAUAUUCAACAAAAAUCAGUAUAGGUUUUUGAGUACUCUAUUCAUAUUCCUUUUGUUUGGUUUAUCCCUAGAUUUAGAGAUUAAGAAUCUAAAAUAUGUUUUUGCCAAAGCCAAUUUCUUCUCUUAUGUUUUUGCCAUAUAAUUUUAAUUAAAUAUAAUGUAGAUCAAAAUUUAUGGAAGAAAAAAGCUUUUUGAAGUGGUGAAAACUAAUUUGAACGUGGGAUGAGAUUAGAUGAGAUCUUUGAGAAAAUAUAGGACUUUAGAUAUUUGAAGUUGCAAAAAAUGAAACUGACGUUAAGAUUUUUUUCAUUUUUCUUUUUGGUAAAACAUUAUCCAUGUGUCAGAAUUUUAGUGGGCAAGUAUUUUAGUGGGUAAGUGACUUGUGCUUUAGUAUAUAAAAGAUUCUUUUUUAAAAAUAAAUAAGUAAAAUAGAUUAACAAGUAAACAAAGUGUGGAAUGAGAGACAAGUGUGCAUUUGAUUUGGGAGUUAGAAUGUGAGCAAGUGUUAGACUGAAUAUAAAUACUUGCAGGGGAUGCUGGUGAGGAACUUUAACGUGCAGGCUGGUAACGAUCUUAGCGGUGUGCCCACUGACAUGCUGUCUCUUAAUUCGACUGUCAGGAUCUUCUACCGGAACCCCUCCACCUUCUUCGCCGUCCAUGUCACUGCUCUCCCUCUCCUCCUCCGCUACUCCAACCUCCUCCUUUCCUCCGGUGAGAUGGAGAAGUUCACGGUGGGUAGGAAAAGCGGAAGGAAUAUAGCCACGGUGGUGCAUGGCCAUCAGAUUCCCCUAUACGGCAGUGUCUCUCCCCAUCUCGACAAACUGUCCCUGCCCCUCAAUCUCACUCUCGUCCUCCGUUCCAGGGCUUACAUUUUAGGCAGACUCGUCACCUCCAAUUUCCAUACAAGGAUCAUUUGCUCUUUCACUCUUAAUGCCAACCGCCUUACCAAACCCAUGUCUCUUAUCCACUCAUGUACUCAUCACCACUGACACCACCUUGCACACUUUCUGUGUACUUUGGAUAUAUAUUUUUAUCUUUUGCAAUCAAUCAACAAAUUCUUCCAGGAAUAUUGCUACGACCAAAAAAAAUAUAUGCCAAGAUAAGUUUACAGUUUCCACCGAGUUUAUUAAUAUUCAAGAGUGAAGAACAAUGUGCCAAGAUUCUACAAAAAGAAAAAGAAUUCAAAGCCUAACAUAAUCGGUAAAUAUAUGUACAAAUAUACUAUGAGUAGCCUUGGAAGUUGGAAUGAAGAGAACCUCCUGCAAUCAUCACUAGAGUAGUUUCUGUAUAACAAUAUCUUUUCAGCUAUAAAGUGAUCCAUACUUUGUAUUGUGUUUACAUCCAUUAUUCUACGAAUGGAACGUUAAAUUUUGAACUUUAUGAAACGUAUUGUUGUGUGAUACUAUUAUCUUUCACAUAAAGAAAUUUUAAUUCAUUUGAUUUCUUUCAUUGAUAUCCCUAUCUAUAAUAGUCUUUCAACAUAGAAUCCAAAUCUAUGUUUUUUUUUUGAUCAAAAAAUCCAAAUCUAUGUUUAGACUACACAAUUACAUUCAAAGAAUUUGAUAGAAUUCAUCACAUAUGUUACUGUAAACGAAGGAAAAAGAGAGUGGAGGCAGAGGAAAGUCAAAAGGAAACAGAGGAAAAGAAGAUUGAUAUGAUCUGUAAGCUGAGCUGGUCGAUUGAUAGGAAGGAUCAAAGACUCCUGGAUAAGCCACAAGUAGCAUAAAUAAGAAAAAGUGUACUUGAUUUACUGUUUCCCUAUGCGUUUUACAUUUAUGUAUUUGUUUGUUUGUAAACAAGCAACACUUAUCUAUUUGUAUUAAGCUUUCUAUCACUAGUAAAGGAGCUCCCAAUUCCAUAUUCUAUUGUCAGAGUUGCUCUGAAGGAUGUGAAAGUGCCGGUUUUCACUUUCUUGUUUGAUUAAUCCAAGACUUGCUACUGUCUUCAGUUAUUGUAAAAUUUAGAUUCAUGGUUUCAUAUAUUUGCAGAACUUGUGGAGUUGGGCUGGGCUGGGCUGGGCUGGUGUUUCCACGUCAACCUUUGGUACACCACAUCACAAACAAAACUCUUCCAUAUUCAAUAGUAGGAGAGUUUCUCACUGUGUAGAAUGGUGUUACUUGUCUCUAGCAUCUGGACCAUUUAGAAUGGUGUCACCAUAUUUUGUAUGUAUGAACGGAUAUCCUGUUCCUUUUUUUUUGAAACGGAUAUCCUGUUCAAUUCAUAGAUCUUUUUAUAUUCCAUUAUCUUUUAUAUUCCACUCGUAAUGUGAAAUAUUUCACUAAAAUGUUCAUUUUUCCAAAAUAUCAUGUUUGAGCAGUUUGGGGUGGUUACAUGCACUUCACCGGCUUUCGUUUCGAGUUUGGGGCCUCCUUUCUGACUCAGUUAGUGGACUAUUUUCCAAGUGGAGUUAUUUGGAAGAUUGAUAUGGAGAGAGUGGCCCUGGUGGUUCAUGCGUCCUUGAUGCUCACAUCACCCAUUCCCAAGGUAUUUUUCCUUGGUCUUCAUAUUGGACUUUAGAUCCAAGCGCUUUCAGUAAAAGAACAGAGCAUAAACAAUAUAUUUGGUUGUACUUGGACCUGGCAAACACAGUUUUAUUUCAGAGACUGAGACCUAAUCGACUAGCUCGUACCUAUUAUACAAGUAUGCUAUAAACAUGGUCUAGGCGGCACAAGUGGCGCAGGUGCAACCUUCCCCACAGGUGCAAAAGGCCUUGCCGACCUUAGCGGAGGUCUGGGUCUUGGCGCAGGUGCAAGGGUUGCAGCCGCAGUGCUCCCCGCACGGGCACAUGUUGUGUUCUUGAUCCCCACCAGAUGCUGCGCUCAUCCUGCACCUACAUGGACUCCAACGUUCUUUUUUAAGUUGAACAAAAUACAUCAAUUCUUGAGAGCAUAUAGAAGAGUAGAAACCUGCAGGAUUCUCCACCUGGACAGGGAGAUGGGCAGCCACAGCGACUGUUGCCCGUGUUGUGGGUUUAGUUAUGCGUGGAAGCGCGUGGAGAGGAACGUCACUAAAUUGGACCAACUUGCUUGAAAAGAAGUUAUGAAAGACCCCAUACGGCUUUCGCUUUUAUUGCACAACCUCCGAAACCAUUUCGCGUUUAACGUCUAGAGACGGGAGUUGAUAAAAAAAAAAAGACAUAGAGACGGGACAAAAGAAAGAGCCAGACACGACACUAGCGUCUCUGUUUUAUUGCUGCUUACCUCUAUUAUUCUGUCACAAAGGAAAAACCAAGGAGAGAAGAUCCAAUUGAGAGACAUGCAUGCAAAGACGGACUCCGAGGCCACUAGCAUUGACGCGGCUUUGUCAUGGCCGCCGCGCUCUCCGCCCCGUUCGGCGACUAGACCUCUUUACUAUGUACAGAGUCCCUCCAACCACGACGUGGAGAAGAUGUCAUUUGGGUCCGGUUGCAGCCCGAUGGGUUCUCCCUCACACCCACAUUACUACCACUGCUCACCCAUCCAUCACUCCCGUGAAUCCUCCACCUCUCGCUUCUCUGACCGAGCACUCCUCUCCUACCAGUCAAUCCGCGAAGGAAGCGGACGCCGUCGUUACAUCAACAGCGCCAUCGACGAAGAAACUGACGACGGAGAUGACGACCCCUUUCGAAAUGUGCGUCUCU
rnacentral:lncRNA from 1 species